UUUCCUUAUUUCUUCUGUUUUAUCUCAGUUUCACACCAGGACAGCUCCACAGUGUUUGCCUGGUGCCAUCGUGUGGUGAUAGUCAGAAAGUGAGAACCAAAAUGGACCCAGGAAGGUUGAUUAUUAUCUGGCAUUCAUCAAAACUUACCCUGGCUUUUUCAGUGUUUCCUUUAAACUUGCAAUGGGGACACCUACCUCCACUGCACAGCCUCACCCUCAUUCAGCUGAAGUCAUGGUCAUAG
rnacentral:lncRNA from 1 species